CAGACGACGCUGAGAUUGUCGAUGCCACGCCCCUUUGGUGAUGCACGAUUGAAGCCCAAGGUAUUGGCAUAGUUGGAUUAUUUUGGGUGUGCCGUGAUUGAUUAGGGUUACAGGGAAUUGUGAUCGUGGGAAUUGUUGGAUUUGUUGUUGAGAGCGAGCGAGAGUGUGAGAGAAAGAGGUUUGGUUUUGUUGCGCGAUAUAUUUCGUGGGUAUGACGGGUGGUGAGGAGAAUGACGACUGGGAACCGCCGCCGCGGCGGAUGUCUACCAUGGGUGUUGAGAUAGAGCCUGACUUGGAGGCGCCUCUGCUCGGGUCGUUGGAGUCUCUCAAACCGCAAAGUCGUGUUGCGCCGAUCCUUGUUCUGCUCGCAUUCAUUGUCAUUGUGAUCGCGUUGGCGUCGAUGAUGGGCAAUUUGUCUUCCCGAUAUGUUUUACGAAGCACCAGUGAACCUAGUCCUCAAAUACCAUGAUAGGUGAGGUGCGCAAAAGUAUCACCUAAUCUUAGACUUUGGCCGAAUGGCUGUAGGUCUAGGAUAUGGCAUGCUUAUGAACAGGACAUUGGUACGUGAAGCAACAAAACGUACAUUCCGCUUCCUUCGUUAAUUAUCUUUGGCUAUCAACGGUCUGGAGAGUGCAUUGGAUAGGAGACUCACUUUAUUAAGCUUUUGUGAAUACAUUGUUUAGUAUCUCCGAACAGUCAUCUACUUCUCGAGAAGAGGUCUUAGUAGGCGUCAGGUGGGAAUGGGAUGAUGGGGUUCAUUGCAGAAGUACUGCUUUAGCAAGACGAAAACUGUAUGCUUGUAGAGGAUUUUUUUAAGUGCUCUCACUAGCCUGAUUUUCCCAAGAACCAUGGAAUUCUGGACUGAUUGAUGGGCUUUCAAAGUUGACCGCCUUAAAAUGUGUCAGUACAGUUACAGUUUCAUAUGC